AAGAUUUUAAGUUAAAUAAACUAUCAACCUUCAAAGUUUAAAAUACCUUGUUAAUGGUAAGUCUUA
rnacentral:tRNA from 1 species